ensembl:lncRNA
AUCCUGUUAAGACUGGAGGGGGAACAAAUAGCCACAUGGUAAGAAAUGACGAAGCUGGGGGAGAUGACUCAGGAACUCCAGCAAUUUGCUAGCUGUAGUAGAAGCCUGACCAAUCUGUGGUAGGAGUUAGGCACCUGAGAGUGCCCUCAGCUGCUCCCAAGGGCCAGCAGUGGCAGUAGCACACAGAUGUGAUGAAAAGCCCACCUCUGCUCUUUGCUGCUUGGGUAGUGAGCCCUGCAUGGAGAGGGUUCCUGCCAGCCAUGGGCCGACCCCGUCUGGCACAGCAGGUACAGCCCGGGGCCUCCAGCAGCUGGAGAUCGGGCACGGGGGAGGGUCUGUUUUUACUUUUCAAGGCUUCAAUCAGAGAUUGAGCCCAGAAUUUCAUAGCGACAAUCCAAAAGCUUUCCAGGGAAAAAGCACUGCUCAGAUGAUUUCUUCACCUGCUGGGAUUUGGAGCCAGACUCUUUUGCUAUUGCCUCGGUUCUCUGUUGGCUGGGUUCUCUUUCUUAUCAGGAGUCAUCCUAGUUUCUCUCUGAAUGUUUCUGACCUGUCCUUGCCAGGCCAGUUUUAUUUCAUGGAGUCUGUCUUCGUAUAUCCAGACAUCUGGACUUUUCAGUCCUACACAAUAAUCUUUGCCAAAGAGUGUGCGGUCAGGACUUCUCACAGUUCAGGAACUGCCUUAUAAUUUCUGGUGACAUGGCAGGAUGGAGAACAACCGAGUCCUGUAAGCCAGAUGAGUAAUAGAAUAUGUGGUCCUGGACAGGGGGGAGGGAAGAACACUGGAGGCCUUUAGAAAUGCCCUCCUCCAGGACCGAGGUGGCACCUCCAUUUUCCCCCUCCAUAGCAAUCCGUGUGCACCCUAAGAAAGGCAACAAAUCCAAGGGUUGUUUUGGGGUCCAGUGAUGCAGAAAGGAGACAGUGGAGAAAAAAAGAGUUUUACUCAAACUCGAGGCUGAGAGGUUUCAAGCCAUCACAAACAUAAGGAAAGACAUGAGCCUUUAAUGGGGUGGGUACAAAGAUAAUGUUGUUGGAAAGCUGGAGGAGAUUUCCGCUCUGUAGCUCGUGUGCAAGCUGCUGUCCACCUUCUCUUCAUGAAGGGAGAGCAGUGGAGAGGAAAAAGCAGGUGAAACUGUUUUCUGAAGAACAAAUGCCCACUCAUGAUGUGCUACCACAGGGAUGUUAAGCCAAGAGGUAUGAAAGCAAACAAGAUUAGACCUCUAAGUCCGGGGCAUCCUUCCCAGGAAAGGCUAGACCAUUUAUGCCAAUCUGUCAUCCUCUCAAACUGCACUCAUCCAUCUUCCCUUCAAAGAUGAAGAAGUGGCAACAUCUUCUCUAACUGGGGACGUCUUAUGUGGCCAGAAUUUCAAACAAAGUCCUAACUGAACAACAGUGACAACAGGGAGAUCAAUGGCAAUGUCAAUAUACAUUAUCAAAGGGACUGCUGUGAACCAUCUUGGCAUACUCUGAGUGGCCGCGUUGCAUCCUGUACAGCAUUACAAAAACAAACAGAAGAAAAAGAAAGAGAAAAAAAAAAAAGAACAAACCACCCAUUUUUAUGUUCUUUAAUUUGCAUUUUCUGCAUGAAAUAAGACCUUGAUCCUUGUCUUUUUUCACAAAAGCAGGUUCUGCUUUAACUAAUGUAAAAAAAAAAAAAAAAAAAAAAAGGAAAGAAAAUAAUGUUUCUAUAGCAAAGUGAUUUAGAUGUAGAAAUUUUUGUAAAAAAAAAAAAAAAACGGGG